rnacentral:rRNA from 1 species
CCUACGGGAGGCAGCAGUGGGGAAUAUUGCACAAUGGGGGAAACCCUGAUGCAGCGACGCCGCGUGAGUGCAGAAGUAUUUCGGUAUGUAAAGCGCUAUCAGCAGGGAAGAAAAUGACGGUACCUGAUUAAGAAGCCCCGGCUAACUACGUGCCAGCAGCCGCGGGCAUACGUUGGGGGCAAGCGUUAUGCGGAUUUAAUGGGUGGAAAGUGAGCGUAGACGGCAGGACAAGUCUGGGGGGAAAUGCCGGGGCUUAACCCCGGGACUGCUUUGGAAACUGUGCAGCUAGAGUGCAGGAGAGGUAAGCGGAAUUCCUAGUGUAGCGGUGAAAUGCGUAGAUAUUAGGAGGAACACCAGAGGCGAAGGCAGCUUACUGGACUUUAACUGACGUUGAGGCACGAAAGCGUGGGGAGCAAACAGGAUUAGAUACCCUUGUAGUC